UACGAGAGGCCCAAACGUUAUUCGGAUUUACUGGGCUUAAAGCGUACGUAGGCGGCUUUGUAAGUUAGAGGUGAAAGCCCGGAGCUCAACUCCGGAACUGCCUUUAAGACUGCAUCGCUAGAAUCCGGGAGAGGUGAGUGGAAUUCCGAGUGUAGAGGUGAAAUUCGUAGAUAUUCGGAAGAACACCAGUGGCGAAGGCGGCUCACUGGACCGGCAUUGACGCUGAGGUACGAAAGCGUGGGGAGCAAACAGG
rnacentral:rRNA from 1 species